UACAGAGGUCCCAAGCGUUGUUCGGAUUCAUUGGGCGUAAAGGGUGCGUAGGCGGCGCGGUAAGUCGGGUGUGAAAUCUUGGAGCUUAACUCCGAAACUGCAUUCGAUACUGCCGUGCUUGAGGACUGGAGAGGAGACUGGAAUUUACGGUGUAGCGGUGAAAUGCGUAGAUAUCUGGAGGAAUACCGGUGGCGAAGGCGGCAUCCUGGACCGGCAUUGACGCUGAUGAGCGAAAGCUAGGGGAGCAAACGGG
rnacentral:rRNA from 1 species